CCCUGUGGCUCAGUUGGUAGAGUAUGGUGUUUGCAAUGCCAGCAUGGUGUGUGCAACGCCAGGGUUGUGGGUUCGAUUCCCACAGGGG
rnacentral:tRNA from 1 species